GAUGAAGAACGUAGCGAAAUGCGAUAAGUAAUGCGAAUUGCAGAAUUUCCGUGAGUCAUCGAAUCUUUGAACGCACAUUGCGCCCACUGGUAUUCUGGCGGGCAUGCCUGUUCGAGCGUCAUUACAACCCUCAGGCCCCCGGGCCUGGCGUUGGGGAUCGGCGGAGCCCCCCGUGGGCACACGCCGUCCCCCAAAUGCAGUGGCGGUCCCGCCGCAGCUUCCAUCGCGUAGUAGCUAACACCUCGCGACUGGAGAGCGGCGCGGCCACGCCGUAAAACACCCAACUCUUCUGAAGUUGACCUCGAAUCAGGUAGGAAUACCCGCUGAACUUAAGCAUAUCAAUAAGCGGAGGA
rnacentral:misc_RNA from 1 species